rnacentral:rRNA from 1 species
CCGGUUAAGCCCAACGAGAAUCGGGAGUAACACCUGGAAACAGAUGCUAAUACCGGAUAACGACAGAUGAUGCCUAUCAACNGUUUAAAAGUAAUGGUUCUGCUAUCACUCUUGGAUGGACCUGCGGUGCAUUAGCUAGUUGGUAGGGUAACGGCCUACCAAGGCGAUGAUGCAUAGCCGAGUUGAGAGACUGAUCGGCCACAUUGGGACUGAGACACGGCCCAAACUCCUACGGGAGGCAGCAGGC